UUUUCCUCUGUGCUUCGUCCAGCUGGCCUUGCUCAUGGGGGCCUCGUGAAUAGGCCUCGCACUCUUGGGACCAAAGUUCCUGGCGCGACAAGGCUGCAUGGACACCUCAGCUGGGCGGGGCCUGAGCAGAAGCGCAAAAUACACUCAAUCCAAGAUGGUGGCGGUGGGCCGCGGGCACAGACCAUGCGCCCUGCGUUGCGAGCUGGAGCCACAUCCCGCGAGACCUUGGCUCCCUCCCGGACACUGAGGUCCCUCGAAAGCAGCACCGUCCCCGGCCUCUCUCAAGGGCAUUUGGUCUUGAGCGCUCUCCAUCCGCUGAUCCGUCAGUGAGCUUUCCUUUGCUUCUGAACCGAACUUGCUCUUGUUCGACUGGCUAGAGCAACACUGGGCAGGAGGAUCCUUCUUGGGGACCGACCCAAAAAGGUGUCAUCCCCAACAUGUUAAUUGCACACCUAAUUCCAUCCUGGCAUCCAUUUCUCAGAGGACCGAAAAGACACACUUCUUAUACCUGCUUUGACUCACUAUGUGGACUACACCACAGAUAGGAUCUACAAGGCCUGGGGAUCUUCUUAAUAAUUUACGGAAAGGGCCAACAGCAGCAAGGAGAGCAUUGACACAACCUGGCCCAGUUCUCCAGACCUGCUCAUGGCUGUCACUUGGGCUGCAAGCCUUCCUCUUCCUCCCCAGACUGUUCCUGGAAGGUGUGGAGAUGCAAUGAUGCAUUCCACGCCCCAGAACUUACUCGUGGUGUCAGCAGACAGACCCAGUGUUUCCAGCUUGAGACCUUCCUUUUUAGCUCAGUUUUCAUGAGGUCACCUUUAUAUCCUCAAAUGAGAGAGGCUCACAGAUGCUCAAGCUUACCCAGGUGUGAUCCUGGUUAUUCACAUGAGCGCCAUGGUGUGAGCUCAGAGGUGCAACAAACCGUGCCCCUCAAAUCUCCCUUCCACACUCCUGUCCCAACACCUGACAUCUAGACCAAGAAGGUUACUGCUUGGGUCACAGGUAUGGCAAAUGGGUUUCAUUGCAAAUGCCACCUCCAAAUUACUGAGAUUAGAUUUGUUUCAGAAAGAUGCUGAGGCCUUUUCUCAUCUCAGCAGGAUUUUACAAUCAAUUAGUAUCUGCCAUGGACACUGGAAAAGAAGUGUCAAUGGUUUUGCACAGAAUUGCCAUCCUUAAAAAAAAAUUUUUUUUUUUUUUGCAUUUACAGUACAGCUACAUGGCCAAUAGAGAACACAUGAACUUGUUGAGACUAAUGACCAUAUUAGCAGGGCCCUGAGGCCAUAGAAGUUAGGACAGGACUUUCUGAUGAGGGGUCUGAGAAUAGCAUGUAGCCUGAGACCUGAUGUUGGUGGUCAAGGUGGACAAGCCCAGAUGGAAGAGGGGAUAGCUUGGGAGCAGCCCUGGGCCUUGGGUUUCUUGAGAAGGUACUAAAACAAAGGUAGCUACCUCCAGAUGGGUCAUUAAAGCAAAUUCUAGUGCAGCCCUUUGAGCCCCACCCUCCUGCCAGUCUAGGGCACUCCACGCCCUCUGCCCAGAGGAAAGCACCCAAAAUUCUGACUCCAAUAAAGUUACAGUCACCUUCUAAGUUCCAGCUCCAAGUUUGGUGUCUUCACACAAAUGAUCCAUAUUUAACCACUCCCAUGUGGUAGGCUUUUCCAAAUUCUCCAAUACUACAUGUUAUCUAUUUAUUAUUUAAAAAAUCACAUGCUCAUAGUUUUUAAAAAAAAAAAUCAAAUGUACAGAAGAUCUAAAAUGAGGAGUAAGCCCCAGUCCCACUUUCCAGAGAUAGCUACUCUUAAAAGUCUCUUAUAGGAUGCCUAUGUCUGUAGCAGCAUUAUUAACAGUAGCCAAAAGGUAGAGGCAAUUCACCCAAGUGCUCAUCAACAGACGAAUGAACAAAUAAAAUGUGGUCUGUAUGUACAGUGGAACAUUAUAUGGCCAUGAAAAGGACUGGAAUGUUAAUGCAUGCCAUAGGAUGGAUCAACCUUAUGGACAUUAUGCUAAGUGAAAUAAACCAGAUGUAAAAUCACAAAUAUUGUAUGAUUCCAUGUAUAGAAGUUUGCAUAGAAUAGGCAAAUCCAUAGAGGCAGAAAGUAGAAAGGUGAUUACCAGAGGCAGCAGGGAGUCAAGAAUGGGGAACUACUGUUUCAUGGAUACAAAGUUUCAGUUUGUGAUGAUGAAAACAUUCUGGAGAUGAUGGUUGUUAAACAAGGUUAAGGUACUUAGUGUUAAUAAAUUGCACACUUA